CGAGAAAAGAUUGAUUUUUAUGUUAUUAUAUUCCAAAUCAUAAUUUAAAAUGUUCUAGUGCAGGUCUUUUGGAAAACUAUGCAAAAAAAAAUAAAAAAAAAAAUUCAAGGUCAAUCUUUGCUGCUUCGUUUAGCCAACAUUUGGAACUGUCAACCAAUCAAUCUUUGCUGCUUCAUUUAGCCAACAUUUGGAACUGUCAACCAAUUUAAAUUAGGUUUCAAUCUUUCAGAUUUUCAAAAAACAAGUGAAGUCUUUUUAAUUAUUAUUAUUAUUUUAUAUACUGAUACCAGUAUUCAUUCACCACAAUGACAGAAAUUACAACCACUGGACCGACCACUCCAGGAAGUACAACGAUGGAGACCACAACAACAGAAAGUUCCACACCCAGCACAACAACCACAACAAUAGAAAGUACCACCACAGGCACCACAACUGAGAUCACAACAACAGAAGAAACCACAACUCCAGAAAGUACUACUACAGCUACCACAACGCAAGAAAGCACAUCAACCGAGACCACAACAACAGAAAGCCCUACAACAGAAAGUACCACCACUACCAUUACAACUUCAGAAAGCACCACAACCGACACCACUGCAGACACUACAACACCAGAAAGCACCACUACAGGUACCACAACAACAGAAAGCAUGACCACAGGCACUACAACAGCAGAAAGCACCACUACAGGUACCACAACAACAGAAAUCACAACAACCGAGACCACAACAGAGACCACAACACCAGAAAGCACCACCACAGGUACGACAACAUCAGAAAUCACCACAACCGAGACAACAACAGACACUACAACACCAGAAAGCACCACUACAGGUACCACAGCACCAGAAAACACAACAGCCGAGACAACAACAGAAACUACAACAACAGAAAGCACCACCACAGGUACCACAAAAACCGAGACCACAAAAGACACUACAACACCAGAAAGCACCACUACAGGUACCACAAUAGCUGAGACCACAACAGACACUACAACACCAGAAAGCACCACAACCGAGAUAACAACAGACACUACAACACCAGAAAGCACCACUACAGGUACCACAACAGCAGAAACCACAACAGACACUACAACACCAGAAAGCAUCACAACCGAGAUAACAACAGACACUACAACACCAGAAAGCACCACCACAGGAACCACAAAACAAGAAAGCACCACAACCGAGACAACAACAGACACUACAACAACAGAAACCACCACCACAGGUACCACAACAACCGAGACCACAAAAGACACUACAACACCAGAAAGCACCACUACAGGUACCACAAUAGCAGAGACCACAACAGACACUACAACACCAGAAAGCACCACAACCGAGAUAACAACAGACACUACAACACCAGAAAGCACCACAACCGAGACAACAACAGACACUACAACACCAGAAAGUACCACUACAGGUACCAUAACACCAGAAAGCACAACAACCGAGACCACAACAGGGAUCACAACAACAGAAAGCACCACCAGAGGUACCACAACACCAGAAAGUGCCACUACAGGUACCACAACACCUGAAAGCACCACAACCGAGACCACAACAGACACUACAACACCAGAAAGCAAUACCACAGGUACUACAACACCGAAAAGCACAACAACCGAGACCACAACAACAGAAAGCACCACAACGGGUACCACAACUCCAGAAAGCACAACAACUGAGACAACAGAAAGCACCACAGCGGGUACCACAACAACCGAGACAACAACAGAAAUUACCACAAAAGAAAGCACCACAACGGAUACCACAACAACAGAAAGCGACACAAUGACAGAAAGUACAACCACUGGACCGACCACUCCAAAAAGUACAAUGAUGGAGACCACAGCAACAGAAAGUUCCACACCCAGCACAACAACCGAAGCCACAACAAUAGAAAGUAACACCACAGGUACCACAACUGAGAUCACAACAACAGAACAAACCACAACUCCAGAAAGUACUACUACAGCUACCACAACACCAUAAAGCACAACAACCGAGACCACAACAACAGAAAGCACUACAAAAGAAAGUACCACCACUGGUAUUACAACUUCAGAAAGCACCACAACCGAGACCACUACAGACACUACAACACCAGAAAGCACCACUACAGGUACCACAACAGCCGAGACAACAACAGACACUACAACAACAGAAAGCAUCACCACAGUUACCACAACGACAGAAAGCACAACAACCGAGACCACAACAGAUAAUACAACACCAGAAAGCACCACUACAGGUACCACAACAGCUGAGACCACAACAGACACUACAACAACAGAGAGUACCACUACAGGUACCACAACACCAGAAAGCACCCCAACCUAGACCACAACAGACACUACACCACCAGAACGGCCCACGACAGGUCCCCCACCACCAGCAAGCACAACAACCGAGACCACACCAGAGACCACAACAAAAGAAAGUACCACCCCUGGUAUUAUAUAUUCAGAAAGUACAACAAUGGAAAUCACAUCUGUAGAAAGCACCACAACAGACACUACAAUAACAGAAAGCACGACCACAGGCACUACAACAGCAGAAAGCACCACUAGAGGUACCACAACAGAGACCACAACAACAGAAAGCACCACAACGGGUACCACCACUCCAGAAAGCACCACAGCGACAGAAAGUACAACUACUGGCACAACCACUCCAGAAAGUACAACAACAGAAAGCACUUCAACAGAAAGUACCACCCCUGGUAUCACAACUUCAGAAAGUACACCAAUGGAAACCACAACUACAGAAAGCACCACAACAACAGAAAGCACAACAGCUGAGACAACAACAAAAAUUACCACAAAAGGUUCAUAGUUUUAAAGUCUUUUAAAAACUUUUUCUGCAUAAAAUGGCUGCAGUGAAAUUUCAAAUAAGAUCCAUAUUUAAUAAAUUGCCCUUAAGGAAUGAAUGCA
ensembl:lncRNA